rnacentral:tRNA from 1 species
GCCCUGGUGGUCUAGUCAGGAUAUGAUUCAGGACUGCGGAUCCUGAGGUCGCGGGUUCAAAUCCCGCCCAGGGCA